rnacentral:rRNA from 1 species
UGGGGAAUAUUGCACAAUGGGCGCAAGCCUGAUGCAGCCAUGCCGCGUGUAUGAAGAAGGCCUUCGGGUUGUAAAGUACUUUCAGUCGGGAGGAAGGUGUCAAGGUUAAUAACCUUGGCAAUUGACGUUACCGACAGAAGAAGCACCGGCUAACUCCGUGCCAGCAGCCGCGGUAAUACGGAGGGUGCAAGCGUUAAUCGGAAUUACUGGGCGUAAAGCGCACGCAGGCGGUUGAUUGAGUCAGAUGUGAGAUCCCCGGGCUUAACCCGGGAAUUGCAUCUGAUAAUGGUCAGCUAGGGUCUUGUAGAGGGGGGUAGAAUUCCAUGUGUAGCGGUGAAAUGCGUAGAGAUGUGGAGGAAUACCGGUGGCGAAGGCGGCCCCCUGGACAAAGACUGACGCUCAGGUGCGAAAGCGUGGGGAGCAAACAGG